rnacentral:rRNA from 1 species
UACGUAGGGUGCAGGCGUUAAUCGGAAUUACUGGGCGUAAAGCGUGCGCAGGCGGUUUGCUAAGACAGGUGUGAAAUCCCCGGGCUUAACCUGGGGAACUGCGCUUGUUACUGGCAGGCUUGAGUGUGGCAGAGGGGGGUGGAAUUCCACGUGUAGCAGUGAAAUGCGUAGAGAUGUGGAGGAACACCGAUGGCGAAGGCAGCCCCCUGGGCUAACACUGACGCUCAUGCACGAAAGCGUGGGGAGCAAACAGG